CUACGGGGGGCUGCAGUGAGGAAUAUUGCACAAUGGGGGGAACCCUGAUGCAACAACGCCGCGUGGAGGAUGACGCAUUUCGGUGUGUAAACUCCUUUUAUAUGUCAAGAAAAUGACGGUAGCAUAUGAAUAAGCACCGGCUAACUCCGUGCCAGCAGCCGCGGUAAUACGGAGGGUGCAAGCGUUACUCGGAUCACUGGGCGUAAAGGACGCGUAGGAGGGUUGGAAAGUCAGGUGGGAAAUCCUACAGCUUAACUGUAGAACUGCACUUGAAACUUCUAAUCUAGAGUAUGGGAGGGGGAGAUGGAAUUAGUGGUGUAGGGGUAAAAUCCGUAGAUAUCACUAGGAAUACCUAAAGCGAAGGCGAUCUCCUGGAACAUUACUGACGCUAAGGCGUGAAAGCGUGGGGAGCAAACAGGAUUAGAUACCCGUGUAGUC
rnacentral:rRNA from 1 species